ACUUAAAUUGAAGAGUUUGAUCAUGGCUCAGAUUGAACGCUGGCGGCAGGCCUAACACAUGCAAGUCGAGCGGUAACACAGAGAGCUUGCUCUCGGGUGACGAGCGGCGGACGGGUGAGUAAUGUCUGGGAAACUGCCUGAUGGAGGGGGAUAACUACUGGAAACGGUAGCUAAUACCGCAUAACGUCGCAAGACCAAAGUGGGGGACCUUCGGGCCUCAUGCCAUCAGAUGU
rnacentral:rRNA from 1 species